rnacentral:lncRNA from 1 species
AAAAUACAACUCAAACUAACUCAAGCAAAAAAGAAAUAGGUACUGGGGAGAGGGGACAGUAGGGGAACAGGCUCCCACAUACUGAGAUCUGGGAACACAAAGGGAAGUUAUCAGGUCUCUCUCCCUCUCAGCUCUGCUUCUUUCAGUGUGGUGGCCUCAUUCUUUCUAACUGAAGAACGAUCUUUACUGCAGAAAAUUCUAAGCAUUAUUGUGGCAGAUCCAGUAAGUCCCAGAGAAGGAUUCUGAUUGGUCCUGCUUCAGUCACAUGCUUGCAUCUUAGUCCAAUCACUGUGGCCUGGAGGAUGGGACACCAUGAUUUGCAAGACUCUGGUCACAUGCCCACACCUGUGGCUUCUGAAGCAGAGCACCAGCAGUGACAGUCCCACCAGAACCGCAUGGAAUAGAAAACUGUGCAUUUCCCUAAGGAAAGGGAAUGCCAGAGAAGGGCAGAAGGGAAAUCAGGAAGACAAAACGGUAAAUUACCUACCACAAAUCCAAUUCAUUGGUAUUUUUCCACUUACACUUAACCAAGCAACGAUUUCUCCUGGUCCCAUAAUGGAAAAGAGGGUUUAUCUAGAUUCAUAUAUACAAGACUGAAGAGUGAAGAGAGACCCAGAGAAUGUUCUAAAAUCUGCCAGUUAGCAUAAUCACACAGAGAAAUCUCUGCUUCCAGAGGAGGAGCCAAGUUCAAGUCAGAGUGUCUUCAUGUUGGAGUGGACCUUUCCUCUAUCUGUCAACAGAAUGGAUAAAUUGUGGAAGAGUAAUAUCAGAAUACUACACAUCAGUAAAAAACAACAAACUUCUGCUACAAACAAUCAACAUCGAUGAAUCUUUCAGGCAAAAGGGCAAAGAAAAGUAUUGGUCUUCCAAAACAAAUAGAGGACGGAGCUGCUGCUGUUGCAUGGUGUCUAGAAACUCAGACAACUUCAUCAUUCCAUAUUUGCAUCCAAGAGAGAGAAAGAAAAACUACAAUCAUUUUCCAUUUACCCAUCAACCCAUCAACCUCCAAAGACAGGGUCUCACUAUGUUGCCCCAGUUGGCCUUGAACUGCUGGACUCAAGGGAUCCUCCUGCCUCAGCAUCCUGAGUAGCUGGGUCUACAGGCAUGAACCACCAGGCCCAGAACCCUGUCUUUUGAAAGCCAUAUGCGAUCUGUCUGCCCUGAAGUGACUACUUCAUCUCCAACCAGCCCUUGGCUGGCAAAGUCAGGAAGACUCCAGUCUUUCCUGAAGACCAGGGGAGAGUUUAUAACUCUAGCAUCAAAGUCAGCAGCUGUUCAUCUAGAAGACAACUUCCCAAAAGUCAAUGUCUUUGCCUGAAGCUUUUCUUCCCAGAUCUCCUAUGGUGAAACAACCAAAGGGAAGAAGAAUGUGGGCAGCCCUCAGUAAGACAGGAGAUGAGCAUCAACAUUGACCCAUUCUUUCUUCCAGUCCUCGAUGCUUACCUUGUACAUUCUUCUUUGUCUUCCGACUCAGUGCCUUUAGGGUAUGGACGUUGCCUGGUCCCACACAAGCCAAGCAUCAAAUGGAUGGCUCAACAAGGAGGCCAAGACCAGCUAAUGUUUAGUGAGCACCCAAAGGGGCCACACUGGAGAGAACAGCACAGCUCCGUCUGAGAAACAGCUGUUCCUUCCUGCCUGAGAGGCAGAGUGAUAGAAGAUAUCACAGAAUGUUGCUGCUUUGUCUUCCACCCUGAACCCUCCACGACCUCCCUGUAGCUUCCUGAUUUUAAGUAGACAUCAAAUGAUUCUUAAUCCUUUCUGGGUCUUGGAACGAUUUGAAAAUUGUCAACAGUACUGGGAUUCCCAGAAUAAUGCACAUAUGUACAUACUCAGAUAUUCCCCAAGCCCUGGAUAUAAUUUUAAGGGAGUUCACAGACCACACUCCCCCACCCAUCUGUGGACCCAGAUUCUGUGGGUUCGAGAUUCAGAAGCCCUGUUUCUAGGCAGGCCCUCUGUUGCUAACGCCCCUCGAGAACAUCACCCUAGAUGAUUAUCCCUUCUUCCUCCACUCCUUCCCACCUUCUCCAACUGCUGGGUUUCAGCACAAAGAUUGCUUGCCAGUUAAACUGGCACCAUGGACCGCACAGUAGUUGUUUCUUGGGUCUAGAGGAAACAGCCAGAUUCCUUUAAGUAAAUCAUGUCUUAGUUAUUGAUUGUCUCCACUUGAAGUUUUUGACAAUCUCUGAUUAAAU